rnacentral:rRNA from 1 species
GUCCUUUUGAGUUUUAUAAAAGGUCUGACCUGCCCAGUGAUAAUUUUAACGGCCGCGGUAUACUGACCGUGCAAAGGUAGCAUAAUCAUUAGUCUUUUAAUAGAGGGCUGGAAUGAAAGGUUUAACGAGGAACUGACUGUCUCAUUUUAUUUGUUUUAAAAUUUAAUCUUUUAGUCAAAAAGCUAAAAUUUUAUUGGAAGACGAGAAGACCCUAUAGAUCUUUAUAGUAAGUUAUUUAUUUGUUUUUAUAUUAAUUUAUUUAAUUGGCUUUCUAUUUUGUUGGGGUGACAAAAAUAUAUAAGAAACUCUUUUAUUUAUUUAACAUUAAUUUAUGAUUAUUAGAUCCAUUAUUAGUGAUUGUUAGAUUAAGUUACCUUAGGGAUAACAGCGUAAUCCUCCUCCAGAGUUCAUAUUUACAGGAAGGGCUUGCGACCUCGAUGUUGGAUUAAGAUAAUAAUUAGGUGUAGCCGCUUAAUUUAUAGGUCUGUUCGACCUUUAAAAUCUU